AUUGAACGCUGGCGGCAUGCCUUACACAUGCAAGUCGAACGGCAGCGCGGGGCAACCUGGCGGCGAGUGGCGAACGGGUGAGUAAUAUAUCGGAACGUGCCCUGGAGUGGGGAUAACGUAGCGAAAGUUACGCUAAUACCGCAUACGAUCCAAGGAUGAAAGCAGGGGACCUUCGGGCCUUGUGCUCCUGGAGCGGCCGAUAUCUGAUUAGCUAGUUGGUGGGGUAAAAGCCUACCAAGGCGACGAUCAGUAGCUGGUCUGAGAGGACGACCAGCCACACUGGAACUGAGACACGGUCCAGACUCCUACGGGAGGCAGCAGUGGGGAAUUUUGGACAAUGGGGGGCAACCCUGAUCCAGCAAUGCCGCGUGUGUGAAGAAGGCCUUCGGGUUGUAAGCACUUUGUCAGG
rnacentral:rRNA from 1 species